UGAGCAAUCUGCCCUUCUCAUCGGAAUAAGCGUUGGAAACGACGUCUAAUGCCGAAUACGACCUCCUUUCGCAUGAUCGGAGGUGGAAAGCUCCGGCGGAGAAGGAUGAGCUCGCGGCCUAUCAGCUAGUUGGUGUGGGUAAUGGCCCACCAAGGCGA
rnacentral:rRNA from 1 species